UACGUAGGGUGCGAGCGUUAAUCGGAUUUACUGGGCGUAAAGCGUGCGCAGGCGGCCCGUUAAGACAGGUGUGAAAUCCCUGGGCUCAACCUAGGAAUUGCGCUUGUGACUGGCGGGCUCGAGUACGGUAGAGGGGGGUGGAAUUCCUGGUGUAGCGGUGAAAUGCGUAGAUAUCGGGAGGAAGGCCGGUGGCGAAGGCGGCCUCCUGGGCCUGCACUGACGCUGAGGCGCGAAAGCGUGGGGAGCAAACAGG
rnacentral:rRNA from 1 species